rnacentral:rRNA from 1 species
GAUGAACGCUGGCGGCGUGCCUAAUACAUGCAAGUCGAGCGAACAGAUGAGGAGCUUGCUCCUCUGACGUUAGCGGCGGACGGGUGAGUAACACGUGGAUAACCUACCUAUAAGACUGGGAUAACUUCGGGAAACCGGAGCUAAUACCGGAUAAUAUAUUGAACCGCAUGGUUCAAUAGUGAAAGACGGUUUUGCUGUCACUUAUAGAUGGAUCCGCGCCGCAUUAGCUAGUUGGUAAGGUAACGGCUUACCAAGGCAACGAUGCGUAGCCGACCUGAGAGGGUGAUCGGCCACACUGGAACUGAGACACGGUCCAUACUCCUACGAGAGGCAGCAGUAGGGAAUCUUCCGAAAUGGGCGAAAGCCUGACGGAGCAACACCGCGUGAGUGAUGAAGGUCUUCGGAUCGUAAAACUCUGUUAUUAGGGAAGAACAAAUGUGUAAGUAACUAUGCACGUCUUGACGGUACCUAAUCAGAAAGCCACGGCUAACUACGUG